AUGACAAUAGAGAGAAAUUCAGGUCAGUAUUUGCGAUCUCUUGCUCGUUCUUCUUCUACUUUCAUGCGUUUGUUGCUCUGUGUGAUUCAGUUUCAUGGAUUUUCGAAAUCAAUGAAGGUUAUUGUGGUUAUGGAUUGGGAAAACCUGAGAUGGAUUCAAGUGAUACAUGAAGCUUUGGGCAUAGCUUGGAGAUAUGGUGGCUUGGUCAUGGGAAGCAAGCAUGAAGAUGUAUGGGCACUAAGACUUAGGCUUAGAACAAAAGUUUGUGUGAUUAUGAAUGUAAUUGUAUGA